UACGAAGGGGGCUAGCGUUGCUCGGAAUCACUGGGCGUAAAGGGUGCGUAGGCGGGUCUUAAGUCAGGGGUGAAAUCCUGGAGCUCAACUCCAGAACUGCCUUUGAUACUGAAGAUCUUGAGUUCGGGAGAGGUGAGUGGAACUGCGGAGUGUAGAGGUGAAAUUCGUAGAUAUUCGCAAGAACACCAGUGGCGAAGGCGGCUCACUGGCCCGAUACUGACGCUGAGGCACGAAAGCGUGGGGAGCAAACAGG
rnacentral:rRNA from 1 species